UAUUUCACAAUGGGGGAAACCCUGAUGCAGCGACGCCGCGUGAGUGAAGAAGUAUUUCGGUAUGUAAAGCUCUAUCAGCAGGGAAGAAAAUGACGGUACCUGAUUAAGAAGCGCCGGCUAACUACGUGCCAGCAGCCGCGGUAAUACGUAGGGGGCAAGCGUUAUCCGGAUUUACUGGGUGUAAAGGGAGCGUAGACGGCAGCACAAGUCUGGAGUGAAAGCCCGUGGCUCAACCGCGGAACUGCUUUGGAAACUGUAUAGCUUGAGUACUGGAGAGGCAGGCGGAAUUCCUAGUGUAGCGGUGAAAUGCGUAGAUAUUAGGAGGAACACCAGUGGCGAAGGCGGCCUGCUGGACAGAAACUGACGUUGAGGCUCGAAAGCGUGGGGAGCAAACAGG
rnacentral:rRNA from 1 species